rnacentral:rRNA from 1 species
UAGGCGUAAAUGAUGCGAGUUAAGUGUGGGGGCAUCUACGAGAUGGCCCUGUGCUGUAGGGUAGCCGUUAAACUCGCUGCCUGGGGAGUACGGUCGCAAGGCUGAAACUUAAAGGAAUUGGCGGGGGGAGCACCACAAGAGGUGGAGGCUGCGGUUCAAUUGGACUCAACGCCGGAAACUCAUCGGGAGCGACAGCAGUAUGAUUGCCAGGUUGAUGACCUUGCUUGACAAGCUGAGAGGAGGUGCAUGGCGUAGACGUCU